rnacentral:lncRNA from 1 species
ACCUCAUUUCAGCUGUAGGAGCAUGCAACCACUUUCUCAUUAAAAACUUCCUAGAUGACAUUUUUUGGCUAUUUCUUAAAUCCAGUUCAUGCAGACAAUGUACAUUUUAUGUCCACGCUAUAUCUUUCCAAUAACCUUUAGGUAUCAUGUAAUUUUACAAAAUAGCAAGUCUCUGAAAAAGGGAGAUUGUGAGGGCCUAUAAUCUGGUGUUAAAAUUCAGGGGAGUAUGUCUAUAUGAAUACAAUUAAUAUGUAUGUGUGUUUGUGUACAAACACAUAUAGGUGUUACAAAAGUCAGUAGUUUUUAAGCUAUCAAAGUAUGUGUGUGUAUGUAGACACUCUCUUUAAUAGUAUGUAUAUGUACACACAUUUUAGUAGCUUAGAACUUCACCAGAACUCUUAGAUAUACAACUACAUAUAUAUGUGUGUGUGUGUGUGUAUGGAACUGUACAUAUUAAAAUAUACAUAUAUUAUAUGCAUUCAUAUAUAAUAAUUUUUUACAAUUUCAGGUAGCAGCUUGGGAUUGUGCAAAUCAUUGCUGAAUUUACUCAGUGCAAUGCAUUCCACUCUUUUCCUCUGGCAGUAGUUCAUUGGCCAUCUUUAGUGCCUCCCCAAAAUAUUUGUUCUGAUAGAAUAACUCAGUGGACUGCCCACGCAACUACAUGUUAUGGUCUGGUCAAAGGAAUUCUCCAUCCUUUGGGGUUUUUUUCUUAAAUGGAUAGUUGAGAAUUUUUUUUUUAGAAGCUAUGGAUCUCAUUGAAGAUUCUGCAUAGAAUUCUGGGAUCUGAUGAUAUCACCACCGUGUCACCUAUGAACAAGAGGAUCUGGAGGACUUCAUUUAAGAAUCCAUUUUCCAUUCAAACUUUCCUUGAGAUAUCCUUCCUGCUCGCACUGAUGCCUGUCCUUGCUGGAGCCUGGCCUUGGGCCAUCUCUAAUCUUUCUCUAUCAUCUCUCCGACCUGUGUGGUAUUAAAUGUGGAUCUCUGGACUGGUAUAAGCUUUCGGAAUGGUCCUUUGAUCAGAGCUUGGCUGUGACUCAUUGGUAAUUAAUAAAGACUCAUUCCUGCCACCUCA